AGCUUUGUGCAGUGGCAGUAUUGUAGCCAAUGAGGUUUAUCUGAGGCACGAUUAUUGCUAAUUGAAAACUUUCUCCAUGUAUAUAGAAAAAAGCAAUGUAUCAGUGGCAGUGAUCCUAUGGCACACGUGCCACGGUGUGCUUUUUGUGUCAUUAAAAGCUCUAAAAGGUUUGCUAUCCCUGGAAUAUAUGUGUAUAUACAUAUAUA
rnacentral:snRNA from 14 species